rnacentral:rRNA from 1 species
UGGGGAAUAUUGGACAAUGGGGGGAACCCUGAUCCAGCCAUGCCGCGUGUGUGAAGAAGGCCUUUUGGUUGUAAAGCACUUUAAGCGAGGAGGAGCUCUAGACUAAUACUCUAGAUGCUUGGACGUUACUCGCAGAAUAAGCACCGGCUAACUCUGUGACAGCAGCCGCGGUAAUACAGAGGGUGCAAGCGUUAAUCGGAUUUACUGGGCGUAAAGCGUGCGUAGGUGGUCUUUUAAGUCGGAUGUGAAAUCCCUGAGCUUAACUUAGGAAUUGCAUUCGAUACUGGGAGACUAGAGUAUGGGAGAGGAUGGUAGAAUUCCAGGUGUAGCGGUGAAAUGCGUAGAGAUCUGGAGGAAUACCGAUGGCGAAGGCAGCCAUCUGGCCUAAUACUGACACUGAGGUACGAAAGCAUGGGGAGCAAACA